rnacentral:tRNA from 1 species
AAAGCUUUAAGUUAUACUAAACUAUUAACCUUCAAAGUUAAAAAAGUAUAGAUUAAAUACAAGCUUUA